rnacentral:sRNA from 1 species
CACUCCCCACUGGGGGAUUUGGAAAUCAUUCUGCUGCUUUCUUUGCUUUUUUUAGGUUUACCAAAGGCCAGUCUCCCACUGUGGUUUUAGGCGCACACUCUCUCUCAAAGAAUGAGGCCUCCAAACAAACAUUGGCGAUCAAAAAAUUUAUACCAUUCUCAAGAGUUACAUCAGAUCCUCAAUCAAAUGAUAUCAUGCUGGUUAAGCUUCAAACAGCCGCAAAACUCAAUAAACAUGUCAAGCUGCUCCACAUAAGAUCCAAAACCUCUCUUAGAUCUGGAACCAAAUGCGAGGUUA